AGUCGCUACCCUGGACGCCACGGCCUGUGACUGUGCUGGGGACCUCAGAAUUAGGUUCCAGGUGCUCCGUGGGCAUUGCUCUGUGCCUUUUCUUCCACGGAUCCCAAAGGGACAGAACCUUGAGGGCCGACAUGCUGAUGGACACUGGUGCCACCUUCCAGUGACACUAAAAUAUGGGAUCACAAUGGUCAGAGAGCUCUUGGACACUUACCUAAGCGUCUCUUGAAAAAUGCAUAGGAUUACGAUUGAGAAAAAACAGCAACAACCCACUAGCCCUCAAAAUAUCAUGAGGCAGAGACAUUUCUCUUGUGGGUUUGGAAGCUGUCUACCUCGUUGCCAUGGUUACACAAAAGCUGGUUUAAAAUGGCUCCUAUGUUGGCAUCUGGGCUGGGGCCUAACCAUCCGUCUCCACCAUUUUCUCUACUGCCUACCUUUUCCUCUCCUCCAAGAAGACCGUAAGCACCCGGAAUGGCUUCUGGGUGUAGUCACUGUGCCAAGCUUAAGGCUGGGCCAGUCCCACGAACUGCUCCUGCCUCCACCGGCCCACUCUACCGAGUCUGGACUUGCCACAUAUAUGCUGCUGCCUGGGCUCCCUUCAGCUUCUCGCCGGCAUCUCACUGGCUGUCAUUGCCUUUCCUUGCUUGGAGAGUUCUGCCAAGGAUUUAUCUUCAGAAGACAAGCAGAUGAAGAGACAAAACCUACUGGUGUGGGGACCCAAGCAGGAACCCCCUUCUUGCACCGGCGACUCAAGUGGGAAGAAGGUAGUGGCUGGCAUUAUGGAUUAGUUACUUAAUACAGUUUUAUUGCUUUGGAAUUCUGAGUUAAAAUGAAUUGAGGGUGGAAAGAGAAAGUUGGAGUGAGAGCUAAGAUGCUCUCAGAAUAUUCUAAAAAUGACCGUGCUGCAAAGAAGCCUGAGCGAGUGGAAGAAAAUAAAAGGAAUGGUGGAUACGAGUAAAGGAUAAAAUGAGGUAACAGAUUUAUCUUGAAGGUAUUUAUAGUGAUUCCUGCUUAAUGUCCAGCUAAGAAAUUCUUUAAACUCUAAACAGAAAACAAAGUAUUUCAUUUUACAGGUAGAGAUAAAAGAUAUGACAGAGCGCAUGGUGUAAGUACCGAAUAGCUAGGGGAACAGCUACCCCCGAGGUCCUCUGCUUUUGCCUGCUCUCCCGGGAAGUCCCUUCUUCCCUGCUUCCCUUCUGAAUUGACCUCUUCUUCACCUGGAUGUUAACACUAUUUGUCUCCUUUCCCCAGACAAGACCAUGACAGUCCUGAGGCCAAGAAAUGCUACCCUACUCAGCUUUCUCGCAGGUUUCUCAUACUUCAUGGAGAAAUAGAAAGCACCAGAUGACAGCUACCAUGCAUUUUUGUCCCCAUUGCUAUAGGAUGCUUCUAACAAUCAUAAAAUUAUGAAACACCGAACUCCUUAAGAGUUGUCCAUUUGUGGAUUUAUCUGACGGUAACUAUUAAAUAUUUAAAAGUACCUUUAAUGUAUCUACUUGUGAUGAUUGUCUGAAUAAUCUAUUCUCUGAAUUCCAUCAUAAAACCAUUUGAUGAUCAAAGUCAUGGAUGAACAUAUUACUAUAAUCCUAAGCGGAUAAGAUAGAGAUCUGUUUAUAAUAUACACAACAUAUUUUUUUAUUCCUAAACUAAUAAGAUGAUUAUCAAGCUGUAAGAGACUGUGAAAAUCAAUACUGUAUACUUGGCUAUACUUGGUGAGAAUUUUGGAAACAUAUUUGUUCUUUUAUUUGUGUUCUGGAAGAUACUUAGACUACUUUUAAGGACAAGUCUAGGCCUCCUUAUCCUUCACAGCAAAUAGCAAACAUAGUUAUUACUGGGGGUGAAGAGACACUGGUCAAGGGGUACAAAAGUACAGUCAGAUAAAAGAAUGUGUUCUAGUGUUUGAUAGUACACCAGGGCAAUUAUAGUUAACAAACAUUUAUCGUACACUUCAAAGUAGCUAGAAGAAAAGAACUGUCAUGUCCCCAACACAAAGAAAAGAUAAAUGUUUGGGGUGAUAAUAUACCAACUGCUCUGAUUUGAUCAUUACACAUUGUGUGCAGGUAUCAGAAUAUCACAUAUCCCCCCACAAUAUGUACAACUGUUGUAUGUUAAUAAAAAUAAAUAAAAAUAAAAA